UACAGAGGUCUCAAGCGUUGUUCGGAUUCAUUGGGCGUAAAGGGUGCGUAGGUGGCGGGGUAAGUCAGGUGUGAAAUUUCGGAGCUUAACUCCGAAACUGCAUUUGAUACUGCCUUGCUUGAGGACUGGAGAGGAGACUGGAAUUCACGGUGUAGCAGUGAAAUGCGUAGAGAUCGUGAGGAAGACCAGUGGGCGAAGGCGGGUCUCUGGACAGUUCCUGACACUGAGGCACGGAAGGCCAGGG
rnacentral:rRNA from 1 species